rnacentral:rRNA from 1 species
UACGUAGGUGGCAAGCGUUUGUUCGGAUUUAUUGGGUUUAAAGGGUGCGUAGGCGGCCCUGUAAGUCAGUGCUGAAAUAUCCCAGCUUAACUGGGAGGGUGGCAUUGAUACUGCGGGGCUAGAGUACAGAUGAGGUAGGCGGAAUUGACGGUGUAGCGGUGAAAUGCUUAGAUAUCGUCAAGAACACCUAUAGCGAAGGCAGCUUACUAGGCUGUAACUGACGCUAAGGCACGAAAAGUGUGGGGAUCAAAACAGGG